GGACCUGCAAAGGAAGUCUAAAUAAGAGUUGGGGGUGCUCCGGCAAGACCCUUCGACGCUCAAGUCAGUUCUCUUCCUCAACAAGAAUGAAGUGCUCGAACAAAAAUUUUUGCAGAGUUUUGAGAUAGAGAUUAGAGCUUAGAGAAUAACGUAUCUGGGGUCCCCUUUUUAUAGGCGGAGGAUGCAACAAACUGAUAGCGACGUUUGUAACCGCCUGGUAGUGGGCCAUUCAAGGCCAUAAGGAAUUUAUUGCGGUGAGUAAUAGCAUCAGGGGCUGUUCAGAGCCACGUGGAGCUUGUCGCGGGGAGUGGAGUAGUGUCUGUUGUCGCGACUUGCCAG
rnacentral:lncRNA from 1 species